rnacentral:tRNA from 1 species
CGUAGCUCAACGGUUAGAGCUUUGGACUUUUAAUCCAAGGGUUGCGGGUUCGAAUCCCGUCG